UACAGAGGGGGCAAGCGUUGUUCGGAAUUACUGGGCGUAAAGGGCGCGUAUGCGGCCUGCUAAGUCGAACGUGAAAUCCCCGGGCUCAACCCGGGAACUGCGUCCGAUACUGGCUGGCUUGAAUCCGGGAGAGGGAUGCGGAAUUCCAGGUGUAGCGGUGAAAUGCGUAGAUAUCUGGAGGAACACCGGUGGCGAAGGCGGCAUCCUGGACCGGCAUUGACGCUGAGGCGCGAAAGCCAGGGGAGCAAACGGG
rnacentral:rRNA from 1 species